UGCUUCGUUUGCCUAGUGGUUAGAGCAUCCGCCUCUGAUUCGGAAGGUCGUGGGUUCGAUCUCCAGUCGAGUCAU